GGGCAAUUGUUUUCCGAAAGCCGGCUUGUGAGCCCCGGCCAUGGCCUGGACAAUUCCAACUUGCUUGUAUCCAUUAUUGCAAUUAUUAUUCUUCAACGAGGAAUGCCUAGUAAGCGCGAGUCAUCAGCUCGCGUUGAUUACGUCCCUGCCCUUUGUACACACCGCCCGUCGCUCCUACCGAUUGGGUGUGCUGGUGAAGUGUUCGGAUUGGCUUAGCUUGGGGCAACCUGGGCUUUGCUGAGAAGUUCAUUAAACCCUCCCACCUAGAGGAAGGAGAAGUCGUAACAAGGUUUCCGUAGGUGAACCUGCGGAAGGAUCAUUGAAUCUAUCACAAUCCACACCUGUGAACUUGCUUGUUGGCCUCCGCUUCACGGCGGGUCGGGUCGGUCGGAUUAAGUUCUGAUCGGCUCGGGGCCUUGGCACCAACUUCGGUUGGUGUCGGGGUCGGUCUCUAUUAACCAACCAACACCAAACCAAACCAUAAAAAAAAUCGAGGAGGGCUUAGAGCCUGACUCACUAACCAAGACAACUCUGAACAACGGAUAUCUUGGCUAGCACAACGAUGAAGAACGCAGCGAAAUGCGAUACGUAGUGUGAAUUGCAGAAAUACGUGAACCAUCGAAUCUUUGAACGCAAAUUGCGCUCGCGGCUUCGGCCAAGAGCAUGUCUGCCUCAGCGUCGGGUUAAUACUCGCCAAAACUCUCCCUAGGGAGUGUCUAAGCGGACCUGGCUUUCCCGAUUCCAUUUAGUUGGAGUCGGGUUUGCUGAAGAAUAGAGGUUAACGCAUGGACCCGAUCAUGGGCCUCAACUGGGUAGGCAAUUCGUUGCUAAUGCUUUAGUUGGUGGCUUAGGGACUGUGCAAUGUUGGCCCUAACCAGGAACCGAGCUUGCUCGGAUUAACCCCAUUUUCUCGACCUGAGCUCAGGCAAGAUUACCCGCUGAACUUAAGCAUAUCAAUAAGCGGAGGAAAAGAAACUAACAAGGAUUCCCCUAGUAACGGCGAGCGAAGCGGGAAUAGCCCAACUUGAAAAUCUCCCUUUGGAGAAUUGUAGUCUAGAGAAGCGCCCUCUGGGUCAAGCGGAGCUCAAGUCGGAUCGAAUGCCGCGUCAGAGAGGGUGAUAACCCCGUCGGCUCCUGCUUUGAUCCUCCACGAGGUGCUUUCCACGAGUCGGGUUGUUUGGGAAUGCAGCCCUAAUUUGGAGGUAAAUCCCUUCUAAGGCUAAAUAUUGGUGCUAGACCGACAGCGAACAAGUACCGUGAGGGAAAGAUGAAAAGAACUUUGAAAAGAGAGUUAAAAGUGCUUGAAAUUGUUCAGAGGGAAGCGUUUGGAGUCCGUAGGUGCGCCCAGGCUUAAGCGGGCCUAAAAACCCGUUGAAUGUGCUGGGAGCUGGUCAGCGCGGGUUGGUUUGGCGGGAUAACAGUCGGGUCCACCAAGGUAACCUGACCGAUGCCGCCGAGCCGACCAAGGUGUGAAGAGCGCUAUGUCCAAUUUCGACGCCCAGGGCGUUGCACUGAAUAUCUACAGAGCUUUUUAGCGCCG
rnacentral:rRNA from 1 species